GAUCAUGGCUCAGAGUGAACGCUGGCGGCAGGCCUAAUACAUGCAAGUCGAACGGCAGCACAGCAGAGCUUGCUCUGUGGGUGGCGAGUGGCGGACGGGUGAGGAAUACAUGGGAAUCUGCCCAGUCGUGGGGGAUAACGUAGGGAAACUUACGCUAAUACCGCAUGCGCCCUUCGGGGGAAAGCCGGGGACCUUCGGGCCUGGCGCGAUUGGAUGAGCCCAUGUCGGAUUAGCUAGUUGGCGGGGUAAUGGCCCACCAAGGCGACGAUCCGUAGCUGGUCUGAGAGGAUGAUCAGCCACACUGGAACUGAGACACGGUCCAGACUCCUACGGGAGGCAGCAGCAGGGAAUAUUGGACAAUGGGCGCAAGCCUGAUCCAGCCAUGCCGCGUGAGUGAAGAAGGCCCUCGGGUUGUAAAGCUCUUUUGUCCGGAAAGAAAAGCGCCGGGUUAAUACCCUAGUGUCCUGACGGUACCGGAAGAAUAAGCACCGGCUAACUUCGUG
rnacentral:rRNA from 1 species